CUAUCUGGGAGAGGAGGUGUGUGAUCUCCUCCUGCUGUCUGGAGGCGUCCUCGGUCUUUCUGGCGAGCUCUUCAGCCAGAGAGGACAUCUGCACGUUGGCAUCACCUGGAAGCAUAAAAACUGCUCUGUGCUUCCUGGCGAGGGAAAACGGACGUACUCUUCUUCCUGCGCGGUGCUUUCAUGAGUGGGCAGACGGACGUAUUCCUCAUCCUCCUCUGGCUGGUUGGAGUACUCCAGCUCGUCCUCGGCUGCAGCGAGCAGUGCCAUCCUCCACUCUGCCUCUAAGACCAUCCACUGAACCCCAAAGCCUGCAGAAGCAACGCCAUGGCUCCCCCUUAGGCUGUGUGCACCUGGGAGUCCGUGGCAGAAUCAAUACCUGCUCCGUGGGUGCCUAGAUGUGAAACUACACAUCUAACAGUGCGUUUGUUCCCAAGGGGACAAUAGGAAAUAGUUCAGCCUGAAACCAACGGGAGCCAAUCAGAGCUGAGAGAGACAGCCGUUUUUUCAGGAAGGCCUUAACUCCAAAAGAAAGUGACUGCUUUUCCAACCCCCCUC